CCUACGGGAGGCAGCAGUGAGGAAUAUUGGUCAAUGGGCGCAAGCCUGAACCAGCCAAGUCGCGUGAGGGAUGACGGUCCUAUGGAUUGUAAACCUCUUUUGUCGGGGAGCAAGGCCCGCCACGUGUGGCGGGAAGGAGAGUAUCCGAAGAAAAAGCAUCGGCUAACUCCGUGCCAGCAGCCGCGGUAAUACGUAGGGGGCAAGCGUUAUCCGGAUUUACUGGGUGUAAAGGGAGCGUAGACGGUUAUGUAAGUCUGGAGUGAAAGCCCGGGGCCCAACCCCGGGACUGCUUUGGAAACUGUGUGACGGGAGUACAGGAGGGGCAGGCGGAAUUCCUGGUGUAGCGGUGAAAUGCGUAGAUAUCAGGAGGAACACCGGCGGCGAAGGCGGCAAUCUGACUGGAAACUGACGCUGAGGUGCGAAAGCGUGGGUAGCAAACAGGAUUAGAUACCCUAGUAGUC
rnacentral:rRNA from 1 species